rnacentral:rRNA from 1 species
AAUGGCCGCAGUAUUUUGACUGUGCAAAGGUAGCAUAAUCAUUAGUUUCUUAAUUAGAAACUGGAAUGAAAGGUUGGACGAGAAAAUUACUGUCUCUUUAUAAAUUUUUUAGAAUUUUAUUUUUAAGUUAAAAAGCUUAAAUUAAUUUAAAAGACGAGAAGACCCUAUAGAGUUUUAUAUAAUUUAUGCUAAUAGUCAAAAUUGAAUUUGUUUGAUUUUAGUAUUAAUUAUAUUUAAUUGGGGUGAUUGAAAAAUUUAAUUAACUUUUUUUUAAAAAUAACAUUUAUUUAUGAAUUAUUGAUCCAUUAGUUAUGAUUAAAAGAUUAAAUUACCUUAGGGAUAACAGCGUUAUUUCUUUUUAGAGUUCAAAUCGAUAAAGAAGUUUGCGACCUCGAUGUUGGAUUAAAAUUUAGUUUUGGUGUAGUAGCUAAAAUAAUUAGGUCUGUUCGACCUUUAAAAUUUUACAUGAUCUGAGUUUAAACCGGUGUGAGCCAGGUUGGUUUCUAUCUUUAAAAAUAUAAAAAUAUUUUAGUACGAAAGGACCAAAUAUUUAUAAAAAUUAUUUAUUUUUGAAUAUUAUU